UACGUAGGGUGCAAGCGUUGUCCGGAAUUAUUGGGCGUAAAGAGCUCGUAGGCGGUCUGUCGCGUCUGCUGUGAAAACUCAGGGCUUAACCCUGAGCUUGCAGUGGGUACGGGCAGACUAGAGUGCGGUAGGGGAGACUGGAAUUCCUGGUGUAGCGGUGAAAUGCGCAGAUAUCAGGAGGGAACACCGGUGGGCGGAAGGCGGGUCUCUGGGCCGAUACUGACGCUGGAGGAGCGAAAAGCCGUGGGGAGCGAACAGG
rnacentral:rRNA from 1 species